ensembl:snoRNA LOC120102067 small nucleolar RNA SNORA17
GCUGCCCCAAGCCAUUGCCAGUAUGGCUGCUGUGUCAUACUGCAUCAGUAGGAGGCAGAGAGAAGAAACGGUAUGUCUACUAUACUCAGUGUUCUGAACUGUGAACAUCUGAAUGGUGAGUAGGCUAAUCUU